rnacentral:rRNA from 1 species
UACAUGGGGUGCAAACGUUGCUCGGAAUUAUUGGGCGUAAAGCGCACGUAGGCGGUUCGUUAAGUCGGACGUGAAAGCCCUCGGCUCAACCGAGGAAGUGCAUCCGAAACUGGCGAGCUAGAGUACGAAAGAGGGUCGCGGAAUUCCCGGUGUAGAGGUGAAAUUCGUAGAUAUCGGGAGGAACACCAGUGGCGAAGGCGGCGAUCUGGGUCGAUACUGACGCUGAGGUGCGAAAGCGUGGGGAGCGAACAGG